AUGGGUCAACUCAACUCAAUUCAA
rnacentral:siRNA from 1 species